rnacentral:rRNA from 1 species
AUUGAACGCUGGCGGCAUGCCUUACACAUGCAAGUCGAACGGCAGCACGGGUGCUUGCACCUGGUGGCGAGUGGCGAACGGGUGAGUAAUACAUCGGAACAUGUCCUGUAGUGGGGGAUAGCCCGGCGAAAGCCGGAUUAAUACCGCAUACGAUCUACGGAUGAAAGCGGGGGCCCUUCGGGCCUCGCGCUAUAGGGUUGGCCGAUGGCUGAUUAGCUAGUUGGUGGGGUAAAGGCCUACCAAGGCGACGAUCAGUAGCUGGUCUGAGAGGGCGACCAGCCACACUGGGACUGAGACACGGCCCAGACUCCUACGGGAGGCAGCAGUGGGGAAUUUUGGACAAUGGGCGAAAGCCUGAUCCAGCAAUGCCGCGUGUGUGAAGAAGGCCUUCGGGUUGUAAAGCACUUUUGUCCGGAAAGAAAUCCUUGGCCCUAAUACGGUCGGGGGAUGACGGUACCGGAAGAAUAAGCACCGGCUAACUACGUG